rnacentral:rRNA from 1 species
AGGACGAACGCUGGCGGCGUGCUUAACACAUGCAAGUCGAACGGAAAGGCCCUUCGGGUACUCGAGUGGCGAACGGGUGAGUAACACGUGGGUGAUCUGCCCUGCACUUCGGGAUAAGCUUGGGAAACUGGGUCUAAUACCGGAUAGGACUACGAAUCGCAUGGUUUGUGGUGGAAAGCUUUUGCGGUGUGGGAUGGGCCCGCGGCCUAUCAGCUUGUUGGUGGGUGAUGGCCUACCAAGGCGACGACGGGUA